ACCUGGUUGAUCCUGCCAGUAGUCAUAUG
rnacentral:rRNA from 1 species